UGGGGAAUAUUGGGCAAUGGGCGCAAGCCUGACCCAGCCAUGCCGCGUGAGUGAUGAAGGCCUUCGGGUCGUAAAGCUCUGUGGAGGGGGAAGAAACCUCUUGUGGCUAAUAUCCACGAGAAUUGACGGUACCCCUUUAGCAAGCACCGGCUAACUCCGUGCCAGCAGCCGCGGUAAUACGGAGGGUGCAAACGUUGCUCGGAAUCAUUGGGCGUAAAGCGCACGUAGGCGGCUCGUUAAGUCGGAUGUGAAAGCCCUGGGCUCAACCCAGGAAGUGCAUACGAAACUGGCGAGCUUGAAUAUGGAAGAGGGUCGCGGAAUUCCCGGUGUAGAGGUGAAAUUCGUAGAUAUCGGGAGGAACACCAGUGGCGAAGGCGGCGACCUGGGCCAAUAUUGACGCUGAGGUGCGAAAGCGUGGGGAGCAAACAG
rnacentral:rRNA from 1 species